GGCGAUGUCGACCAGUGGUUAAGUCACCAGAUUUUGAUUCUGGGUACCUGGGUUCGAAUCCCAGCAUCGCCU